rnacentral:rRNA from 1 species
UUCCGGUUGAUCCUGCCGGACCUGACUGCUAUCGGAUUGAUACUAAGCCAUGCUAGUCUUUGUAGUAAUACAAGGCAUACGGCUCAGUAACGCGUAGUCAACCUACCCUAUGGACGGGGAUAAUCUCGGGAAACUGAGCAUAAUACCCGGCAGACCACUUAUCCUGGAAUGGUUAGUGGUUAAAAUGAUUCGUCGCCAUAGGAUGGGACUGCGGCCUAUCAGCUUGUUGGUGAGGUAAUGGCCCACCAAGGCGAUUACAGGUACGGGCUCUGAGAGGAGAGGCCCGGAGAUGGGUACUGAGACAAGGACCCAGGCCCUAUGGGGCGCAGCAGGCGAGAAAACUUUGCAAUGUGCGAAAGCACGACAAGGUUAAUCCGAGUGAUUUCUGCUAAAGGAAUCUUUUGUUAGUUCUAAAAAUACUAGUGAAUAAGGGGUGGGCAAGUUCUGGUGUCAGCCGCCGCGGUAAAACCAGCACCUCAAGUGGUCAGGAUGAUUAUUGGGCCUAAAGCAUCCGUAGCCUGCUCUGUUAGUUUUCGGUUAAAUCCAUGUGCUCAACACAUGGGCUGCCGAAAAUACUGCAGGGCUAGGGAGUGGGAGAGGUAGACGGUACUCAGUAGGAAGGGGUAAAAUCCUUUGAUCUAUUGAUGACCACCUGUGGCGAAGGCGGUCUACCAGAACACGUUCGACGGUGAGGGAUGAAAGCUGGGGGAGCAAACCGGAUUAGAUACCCGGGUAGUCCCAGCUGUAAACGAUGCAGACUCGAUGAUGCAUUGGCUUAUUGCCAAUGCAGUGUCGCAGGGAAGCCGUUAAGUCUGCCGCCUGGGAAGUACGUACGCAAGUAUGAAACUUAAAGGAAUUGGCGGGGGAGCACCACAAGGGGUGAAGCCUGCGGUUCAAUUGGAGUCAACGCCGG